CUGUGCCACAGCAGGCAAGACGAUGAUGUGAUGAUGAAGAAGAUGAAGGUGUUGGCUGGCUGUGCUGUCAGAGCAUGAGGGAGGGGACUCGCCCUCCCUCCCGUCUCAGAAAAACUCCAGGUUUUUACCUGGAAAAUGCUUGUUCCUCUGGUGAAAUAAAGCAGUGAUGGUUGAGGUUGAAGUCCUGCACCUCCCUCAUGCAUUUCCAGAGUACCUGGCAGGAGAAAACUUAGUUUGUUCUCAUAAGAGUACAUCAAAUACAACACUCCUUCUGAUGUAAUCACUGCAAUGGCAGACUGAGGGCAAAUGAAAUUAAACCAGUUGGGUGAAUUAGCUCAGCGAGGGACGGUUCACAGGAGAGUCUUUAUCUACUCUUUCCACAGACUGUGUGUGCAUAAUUGCAGGAUUACUGAAUGAGUGAAUAGUCACAAGUCUUGCAAAGAACAGAUGAAGACACUGACUCGACGCAGAAAUCCAAACACCUCUCUGUGAAGUGUUUUCAGAGUUCAUCCCCUGCUGAAAGUCU